AUUGAACGCUAGCGGGAUGCAUUACACAUGCAAGUAGAAUGAGUGGCGGACGGGUGAGUAAUAUAUCGGAAAGUGCCCAGUAGCGGGGGAUAACUACUCGAAAGAGUGGCUAAUACCGCAUACUAUUGGAGCGGCCGUUUUCGGAUUAGCUAGUUGGUGGGGUAAAGGCGCACCAAGGCAACGAUCGGUAGCUGGUUUGAGAGGACGACCAGCCACACUGGGACUUAGACACCGCCCAGACUCCUGCCAGAGGCAGCAGUUGGGGAUUUUGGAGCAUGAGGGAAACCCGAAUCCGGCCGUCCCGCUUGUAUGAGAAGGCCUUCGAGUUGUAGAGUACUUUUGGCAGAAAAGCAGUAUCUGCAGAAUAAACACCGGCCAACUACGUGCCAGGAGCCGCAGUAAUAC
rnacentral:rRNA from 1 species